AUGUAGGGUAAUUUGUCUUUGAGUAGGCAUAAAUUAUUCUUGAACAACAUGUUCCUGAAUAGUUUUCGCUUCAACCCAAGCAUCUUGU
rnacentral:pre_miRNA from 1 species